AACGAACGCUGGCGGCAGGCUUAACACAUGCAAGUCGAACGCCCCGCAAGGGGAGUGGCAGACGGGUGAGUAACACGUGGGAACGUACCCUUUACUACGGAAUAACGCAGGGAAACUUGUGCUAAUACCGUAUGUGCCCUUCGGGGGAAAGAUUUAUCGGUAAAGGAUCGGCCCGCGUUGGAUUAGCUAGUUGGUGGGGUAAAGGCCUACCAAGGCGACGAUCCAUAGCUGGUCUGAGAGGAUGAUCAGCCACAUUGGGACUGAGACACGGCCCAAACUCCUACGGGAGGCAGCAGUGGGGAAUAUUGGACAAAUGGGCGCAAGCCUGAUCAGCCAUGCCGCGUGAGUGAUGAAGGCCUUAGGGUGUAAAGCUCUUUCACCGGAGAUGAUAAUAGACAGUAUCGGGAGAAUAAGACUCCGGCUAACUCCGUGCCAGCAGCCGCGGUAAU
rnacentral:rRNA from 1 species